rnacentral:tRNA from 1 species
GGAGAGGUGCCGGAGUGGUCGAACGGGGCGGUUUCGAAAACCGUUGUCCUCGCAAGGGGACCCAGGGUUCGAAUCCCUGUCUCUCCGCCA